GAUUGGGCAAGAUCGGAUCAGCAAUAGCAAAAGAGUCAAGCUUUCAACCGCUCUAUCAGUUACCACUCGAGAUCUAAGAAACCAAAUACAAAGUACAAAUACAACUCAAAUACAAAGCCUAGAUAACCAGAAGGAAAAAUGCGUAGAAGAAGAUUACAAGAUUUAAGUAUUGUCCAGAAUACUCCAAAUUCGGAAGAAGGAAAUAGUGAACAGCAGACAGUUGUUGGAUCUUCGAAUGUGCCGGAGACACUUGAUGAGCCUGAAGAAUUUCAAAUGGUGGGACGCGCAGAGUUCGAGGACCAGGCUAUUUGGGCAUUUUAGCACGAAAUGCAAAUAUGUUGCCCAUCAACUACGAAUCAUGGCAUCACAUGCCUGAUAGCAACAAAAA